CUGGUUGAUCCUGCCAGUAGCAUAUGCUUGACCUGGAGAUUAAGCCAUGUAUGUCUAAGUAUAAGUUAUAUAUUGCGAAACUGCGAAUGGCUCAUUAAAACAGUUAUAAUUUAUUUGAUGAUAUGUUUACAUGGAUAACCGUGGGAAACUGGGGCUAAUACAUGCAUAAAGCCUUUUGGGGCGUAUUUAUUAGUUUAAACUAGAUUUAUUUUGAGGAAUCAUAAUAACUCAUCGAAGCGAUUUAUCGCUACAUCAUUCAAGUUUCUGCCCUAUCAGCUGUGAUGGUAAUGUAUUGGAUUACCAUGGCUAUAACGGGUAACGGAGAAUGGGGGUUCUAUUCCGGAGAGGGAGCCUGAGAAACGGCUACCAUAUCUAAGGAUGGCAACAGGCGCGAAAAUUACCCAAUCCUGACUCAGGGAGGUAGUUAAUGGAAAUAACACGUUCGGCUCUAUGAGCUCUGAACAUGUAAUGAAAUGAAUCUAAUUCAAUCUUUGAAUCCUAUUAGAGGGCAAGUCUGGUGCCAGCAGCCGCGGUAAUUC
rnacentral:rRNA from 1 species